rfam:Oryza glumipatula chromosome 10, whole genome shotgun sequence.
UUUAUAUAUAGUUUUUAUUCUGUGUUCAACGUUUAACUUUUCGUCUUAUUUUACUUUUUUCUUGAUUAUUAGAUGAUAAAAUAUGAAUAGUAUUUUAUGUGUGACUUAUUUUCUAAAAAAAUAUUAAUUUCUUAAAUAAGACGGACGGUCAAAUGUUAGACGCAUAGACUGAAAACUGCACUUAAA